rnacentral:rRNA from 1 species
GAUGAACGCUGGCGGCGUGCCUAAUACAUGCAAGUCGAGCGAACAGAUGAGGAGCUUGCUCCUCUGACGUUAGCGGCGGACGGGUGAGUAACACGUGGAUAACCUACCUAUAAGACUGGGAUAACUUCGGGAAACCGGAGCUAAUACCGGAUAAUAUAUUGAACCGCAUGGUUCAAUAGUGAAAGACGGUUUUGCUGUCACUUAUAGAUGGAUCCGCGCCGCAUUAGCUAGUUGGUAAGGUAACGGCUUACCAAGGCAACGAUGCGUAGCCGACCUGAGAGGGUGAUCGGCCACACUGGAACUGAGACACGGUCCAGACUCCUACGGGAGGCAGCAGUAGGGAAUCUUCCGCAAGGGGCGAAAGCCUGACGAAGCAACGCCGCGUGAGUGAUGAAGGUCUUCGAAUCGUAAAACUCUGUUAUUAGGGAAGAACAAAUGUGUAAGUAACUAUGCACGUCUUGACGGUACCUAAUCAGAAAGCCACGGCUAACUACGUG